GCCAGCAGCCAUAUCACCCUGCAGCUCUUAACUGGCUUCUUACUGAAACUUAGCAGGGUUGAGCAUGGUCAGUACCUGGAUGGGAAACCUCCUGGGAAGCUAUGGUUGCUGCUGGAA
rnacentral:rRNA from 1 species